rnacentral:tRNA from 1 species
AAGGAAGUGGCAGAGCGGUUAUGCAAUUGACUUGAAAUCAGUUUAAGGGGGUUCGACUCCUCCCUUUCUCG